ensembl:lncRNA
CACAGCGUGACCACGUGACCUGCAGCUUUUAACUUUCGAUUUCUCCGGAGCAGAAGACUUUGUGGCGCAGCGGAGAUAAACCUGAUUCGUGCAGACGUCAUGCUGUCCCUCUAUGAUGAAAUGAACAAUGAAACAGAGCGUCCGGACUUCUGAAGAUGGAAAUGAAGCUCAUCUCCAUGGAAACAGUCCAAAAAGUGUUAAAGUGUUGUUUCAGAUGUUUGGAUCGCUCUAUUUUACUCCCGUUCUACUAAAAUGUGACAAAAUGAAAUAAAAAUGACACAAACUGUCUCUGUUUUCUUUCUUGUAUUUGUGCAAAGGAGCAAAUACUCAAGUACAUUUGUCCACGUACAAAAUACAUUUAAGUAACACCACUGUGCUUUUCACACCCCAC